AGUGAACGCUGGCGGUAGGCCUAACACAUGCAAGUCGAACGGCCGCACAGUAAGAUCUUGCUCUUACGGGUGGCGAGUGGCGGACGGGUGAGGAAUACAUCGGAUUCUACUUUUUCGUGGGGGAUAACGUAGGGCAACUUACGCUAAUACCGCAUACGACCUACGGGUGACAGCAGUGGAUCUUCGGACCUUGCGUGAUUGACUGAGCCGGUGUCGGAUUAGCUAGUUGGCUGGGUAAAGGCCCACCAAGGCGACGAUGCGUAGCUGGUCUGAGAGGAUGAUCAGCCACACUGGAACUGAGACACGGUCCAGACUCCUACGGGAGGCAGCAGUGGGGAAUAUUGGGCAAUGGGCGCAAGCCUGAUCCAGCCAUACCGCGUGGGUGAAGAAGGCCUUCGGGUCGUAAAGCCCUUUUGUUGGGAAAGAAAAGCAGCAGGUGAAUACCUGGCUGUUCUGACGGUACCCAAACAAAAAGCACCGGCUAACUACGUG
rnacentral:rRNA from 1 species